AUCCUCUAGCUGGCUUGCAAUGCUUGCUUUGAAGUCUGUAAGGAAGCGAAUGUUUUAAAGUUUCUAAGUUCAGAGCUGUGUACUGAUGUGCGCAGAUGUGGGGACUGCCUCCAGUAGGUUCUCAGUAACACAGCUGAGGACUAAACUUUGCUGAAGUCAACAAAAUGCAGCAGAACAACAAGAUCAGCUCCAACUUUUGACUAGCGUCGCACUGAUGACACAGCCACCGGAGCGCAUGCUGUCCCUCCAGGCUCGCUGAAUGUAUAGUCCUUUUCUCACACAAUUUCAGUUUCAUGCAAUGUAACAGCACUCUUGUAUCAAAAUCAUGAUGCUGCUUCUCUAGUCUCUUCAGACUUUAAAAAACAAUCAGCCCUGGGGCAGAUUAGCAUUAUUUUGCUGGAUACACAGAGCGCAGUGAUUUAAAUGCUACAUGAAUCAGAAGAAAGCCUCAGUGCAGCUACAAUGUACAGAGUGCAGAGGAAUCAAAGUCAGUCUUCUGCAGAGUAGUAACCUUCAUAGGGGAGUUCACAUCCUAGCCCUUUCUGUUAUUUACUAAAUCCUUUUGUAUAGAAAUCAGCUAUGACUUCUUCCUUACACGAGAUAAUCAUGAAUUGGGAUUUAGAGACUACUUGAGGAAAGUUGCAGCUCCUGUAUUGCAGGGCAGGCUACAGGUGAAUGGGGAGACUGGCGCAACCAGAAACUCCACCUGCUGAGCUCUGAUGCUGAGAGCUGCUACCAGUGAGGCCAAAACCAUCACCUUGAGAUUGGUGGAGAAUGAUGAUAUGGUCGUGAUCUGUACCAGUUGCUCUUACUGACCUCCCACAGGUAAAAAUCAGUCAUAGACCUGAGAGAAGGAUGCUACAAUGUGGGGUUUUCCAGUAGGAGAGAAUGCUACAGUUUCAGGUAAGAGUGAAGCUCCACCAUGGUCACUGCUCCAAGGUGACCUCUGUGGUAGCUUCCCUCACCUCCAAGAGUAGCAGAAGGUAGGCAUAUUGUGGCCUCCUAAAAAUAUUCUGACUUGAAACUGAUGAUGAAAGAUUUAGUUCAUGGCUUUACAUGAGGAGGGUAUGUCUUACUUCUAGAGUAAGUUCAGAAACAGAUCCUAAGAAGACUCUAAGCCACAUGAAAUUAAAUUUCAGACUAGUCUUGGUCUGCAGACCAUCAUGGUUUCCUGUCCUCUUUUUUUCAAGAACGGUUUGCUUAUUAAUGGCAAAACUGUAUGUUGACCCCCAACACACUGCAGGGCUGUCAUUCCAACUUUCCCUAACAGCUACCACCCUUUCCUUGCCCAUACUACAGUCCUAGAUAGGACUGGCCAAACUCUUGCUCGAAGACACCUAGGACUCAAUUGCAUCUGAUUGCAAUGCAGUGUAAUCAAAUGAAACAAAAAGCUGAGAGAGAAAAAAUAAAUAAAACUCAUAUUGUCUUCUCUGUCAUAGGAGAACUUGUCUUGAAUGGAGUUUGAGGGACAACGGAAACUCUUUUUCCACAGAGAGAUAUUCGUGAACUUCUGGAGGCUGCUAGGAAAAUCAGAACUCUUACUAGAGUGGAGUUACAAAGUCCCCAGUUUGACAUUUACCAUCCUGUACAGAUAAAGAGCUGGUUUUAUCACAUGGUUAUUCCUGUGGUUUGUUUGGCUUCCUUUCACUUCAGAGCAGAGCACGAUGACUGGUCUGUGUAGUGGUGUUCACAGUAAAGCGAGCUGCUGAGCUCGUGCCCCUGCCAGGCCAGGCAGGGCUGGAGGGCCUCUGCCAUCAUCAGCCCUGGCAUAUUUUUGUGUCAUAGCACAGCUCGGGCUGGCUGGGUCACCUGAUGUUUCCCCAGAGUUCAAGGCUGUAUGUGCCACUCUAGUCCAGAUGCUCUACUGAAGGACAGUUCUCCUUCCCUCACUCCUACACAAUAACAGAAAAGACCUGAGAGAUAUUUUUUGUUUACAACCCCCCAUCUUUAUGCCUGGUGCUUGGAAACUUCAGUAUUGUGAUAUAUCAUCUGUAGAAGUGCCGGAUCAUUUAGCAGUACAGCCAUAGCCAAAGGUGUUUUCCAAGGCAGUUGAUUUCUUUACAGCACUAAUGUCUCUAUUCUAACUCAAAGCAUCAGGAACCUGUCCUCACAGAGAAGUGGGAUGUCAGACUGGCCUUUUAUCCUGAAGUUUCCUCGAGGAACCGCUGCGUGUCACCUGCUGGGCGAUGCAGUCUGCCCUGCCGAUGGGCUCUGCUCUGCUUUGCGGUAGAUGUGUUUUCACUGGGCUUUUCAGGAGCUUCCCCUGUCUCAAGACUGUCAGCCUUGAUGUCAGGAUACAUUUCUGAGCUUGGGGGGACUGUGUUUGCAUUCGGGACUGUUUGCAUUUCUACUGCUCUGCGGGGGGACUGAAGAGGUAUUGUACCAAGUCUGCACUAAAGUGGUAAUGGAGUGGAGAUUCUGGAUUUUUGUAUGAAGCUAGUAACUGU